rnacentral:sRNA from 1 species
AUGUACCACGCGUAGACUCUGGCUCCUCCGCGCCGUCCACACCCGCCUGGCGACUGCUCGCUACGUUUUUACCGUUC